UGGGCGUAAAGCGCAUGCAGGUGGUUUGUUAAGUCAGAUGUGAAAGCCCGGGGCGUCAACCUCGGAAUAGCAUUUGUAAACUGGCAGACUAGAGUACUGUAGAGGGGGGUAGGAAUUUCAGGUGUAGCGGUGAAAUGCGUAGAGAUCUGAAGGAAUACCGGUGGCGAAGGCGGCCCCCUGGACAGAUACUGACACUCAGAUGCGAAAGCGUGGGGAGCAAACAGGAUUAGAUACCCCUGGUAG
rnacentral:rRNA from 1 species